rnacentral:tRNA from 1 species
CUCCGCGUAGCUCAAUUGGUAGAGUGCUUUGUUUGGAACGAAGAAGUUAUAGGUUCAAGUCCUAUCGCGGUGACCA